UACCAGCCCCCUGAGUGAUAGGGAUGAUUAUUUAGCCUAAAGCGUUCGUAGCCGGCUUAGCAAGUCUUUCGUUAAAUCUAGCGACUUAAUCGUUAGGCCGCAGGGGAUACUGUUAGGCUAGAAGGCGGGAGAGGUUGACGGUAGUCCCGGGGUAGGGGUGAAAUCCUAUAAUCCCGGGAGGACCACCAGUGGCGAAGGCGGUCAACCAGAACGCGCUUGACGGUGAGGGACGAAAGCUGGGGGAGCGAACCGGAUUAGACACCCGGGUAGUCCCAGCUGUAAACGAUGCGGGCUAGGUGUUGGAGCAGCCACGAGUUGCUUCAGUGCCGCAGAGAAGUUGUUAAGCUCGCCGCUUGGGAAGUACGGUCGCAAGGCUGAAACUUAAAGGAAUUGGCGGGGGAGCACCACAAGGGGUGAAGCCUGCGGUUC
rnacentral:rRNA from 1 species